rnacentral:rRNA from 1 species
AUUGAACGCUGGCGGCAUGCCUUACACAUGCAAGUCGAACGGUAACAGGUCUUCGGAUGCUGACGAGUGGCGAACGGGUGAGUAAUACAUCGGAACGUGCCUAGUAGCGGGGGAUAACUACUCGAAAGAGUGGCUAAUACCGCAUGAGAUCUACGGAUGAAAGCAGGGGAUCGCAAGACCUUGUGCUACUAGAGCGGCCGAUGGCAGAUUAGGUAGUUGGUGGGAUAAAAGCUUACCAAGCCGACGAUCUGUAGCUGGUCUGAGAGGACGAUCAGCCACACUGGGACUGAGACACGGCCCAGACUCCUACGGGAGGCAGCAGUGGGGAAUUUUGGACAAUGGGCGAAAGCCUGAUCCAGCAAUGCCGCGUGCAGGAUGAAGGCCUUCGGGUUGUAAACUGCUUUUGCACGGAACGAAAAGCCCCGGGUUAAUACCCUGGGGUCAUGACGGUACCGUAAGAAUAAGCACCGGCUAACUACGUGCCAGCCGCCGCGGUAA